CCUGUUAAGUGAAUCCCAGGACAGUGACCCUCAACAGCAUGGGGACAGUGGAGACUGGGAUGGCAGUGAUGUCCUUGAGCAGCAAGACCAGGUGGGACCCUGGCUCUGACCUCAGACAGGCCUGCCUGGGACAGAAGGUUGGGGAUUUCCUCAUUUCAUUUCAUCCAGCCCCUGGGAAGUACCAGGAAAGUAGAACAGAGGACCAUGACUCCUUUUCUGUCGGAAUUCACAAGGGAGAAAAUAUGUGUGAGGACAGUUAAUGAGACUUUAAAAACUAAGAAGUCUCAUAGAAAAAUGGGUUUUCCUUAAUGGCUCGGCAGUUAAAGAAUCUGCCUGCGAUGC